rnacentral:rRNA from 1 species
GCUGGUGACCAUAGCGGAGGGGUCACACCCGUUCCCAUUCCGAAUACGGCAGUUAAGCCCUCCAGCGCCGAUGGUACUUGUGGGGCAACUCACUGGGAGAGUAGGUCGUCGCCGGCA